ensembl:lncRNA
CUUCUAUAUAUAUAAUCCCUAUACCUUCUUGCGCCAUCUUGCGUUUCGACACGCUAAAGUCAGUUCAAAUUCUGAUUUUACAUUCAUUUUUGUAACGUUACAAACAAAGAGACCGACAUAAUUACCAUAUGAAUAAAUAAUGCAUAUCAGUAUGUAAGUAAGUGAAUAAUUGAACAAAUAUAUAGGCUAUAUGGUCAAUUUAUAGUGCAUUUGUAUCAGACUCUAUAGGCUAUUGUCAGUUUUGUUUAUGUUCUCCCGGCAACGUAUUAUUACAGUAGUUUUGCCUAAAGCUUAACUCUCUGUACAAAGACCAUCACUCCCUAGGAACGGAUCAUCUGUACAUAAGAGACAGGAGUGAAAUGUUAUGGUCAAACACAGAUAUGAAGAAACACACAGACUUCGGUGACUCAUUCUGGAGUUUUGGAAAAGAGCAGGACUUCAAGCCUCACAUCAGACACGUUGAGCCUGUUCUCACUGAAUGUGACCUUGACUGGAAAUCCCAUUUGCGCUGGAUACCUGAACCUCGAUAUAGUGAUGCCCCAUUUCCACACAUCAAAGACAUAAAGUUUCCCAAUGAAAGGAAACUGAUGAGAUCCUUCCCACAGGCUAAUAGGGUGUCCGUAUCUGAGUGGAGCUUUUAUCCAAACAUUGGACAGCCCAAGACCUAUCACACUGGAAAGAGAUGUUUUAUGGAUGGCAUUAUGCAUACAAGAAGCAUGAGAUGCUUUUCAGAAAAUUCCCUGGAAUCAUCCAUAGGGAGGAAAAAGCAGGCCACAGACAAAUGCAGCAUCUACCCUUUAACAAAGGUCAGACCAUUUCUAGUUCCUGAGUACAGCUCUGACUUUCAUAAAUAUGAAUCAUCACUGCGCACAGCCACUUUUGGAUCCAAGCCGUUUGCCACAUUUAAACCAUUUAUUCACCUAAAACCCUCUACAAAAAACAUCAGUCCACUGUAUGCAGAGAAACAUAAAAGUCUUGCUCGAGAGGAGGACAUUCUUGAAGUCAAGAGGCUGAACAGCUGGAGACCAGCACCAGACAUCUAUGACAGGACAGUUUUGCUGGACACCUAAUUUGGAAGGUGUCAAACCAUGCUUACAUAUUUAUUGUUGUUAUUGUUAGUGUUUGCUGUUUUGUUAGACAUAUUUUAGUUCUAUCAAAGUGUUGAAGCAAAUAAAAUGCUCUUUCUUUCCUUCA